rnacentral:rRNA from 1 species
CGUGUAGGCGGUUCUUCAGGUCUUUGGUGAAAUCUCCCGGCUCAACUGGGAGGGUGCCAGAGAUACUAGGGAACUUGAGGGCAACAUAGGAGAGCGGAAUUCCCGGUGUAGUGGUGAUAUGCGUAGAUAUCGGGAGGAACACCAGUGGCGAAAGCGGCUCUCUGGGCUGUACCUGACGCUGAGGCGCGAAAGCGUGGGGAGCAAACAGGAUUAGAUACCCUGGUAGUCC